rnacentral:rRNA from 1 species
UACGGGGGGGGCAAGCGUUGUUCGGAAUUACUGGGCGUAAAGGGCUCGUAGGCGGCCAACUAAGUCGGGCGUGAAAUCCCUCGGCUUAACCGGGGAACUGCGUCCGAUACUGGAUGGCUUGAGUUCGGGAGAGGGAUGCGGAAUUCCAGGUGUAGCGGUGAAAUGCGUAGAUAUCUGGAGGAACACCGGUGGCGAAGGCGGCAUCCUGGACCGACACUGACGCUGAGGAGCGAAAGCCAGGGGAGCAAACGGG